CAGAAAUUAAAAUAGCUGAUACUUCUAACAAAACCAAAUUAAAAAUGAAAAUUGCAAACAUAUGAAAUUUCAAGUACUUAAAUUUUAGAGGCAUGUCUACAAAUUUUCAAUAAAAUUUAAUUGAGACAGUCUGCUAAUCAUCAAUUAGGCUUCAGUGUUACUGUAAAACAAUAUAUCACAGUUGGUGAAAAUUACAGGGAGAACUUUAUUUUGAAAUUUUAUUGAAGAGUUUAAGUAGGGUAGAUAACUAUUGUGCAAUUCCAUGUUUGAAUGAAUGCUCAAGUAUAUGUACAGGUUCAUAUUAUUUCUUAAUAUGAGAAGAAUUUAUUCCAUUUUUGAAAAAUGCAUUUCUAUUUAUAUGUAUAUUUUACAUUGUAUUGGACCAAAUAUUGUUACAGAUAGUUGAAAAAU
rnacentral:lncRNA from 1 species